GUGGGGAAUCUUCCGCAAUGGACGAAAGUCUGACGGAGCAACGCCGCGUGAGUGAAGAAGGUUUUCGGAUCGUAAAGCUCUUUCGUUAGGGACGAACGUGCUCUUUGUGAAUAAUGAGGAGUAAUGACGGUACCUAAAUAAGAAGCCACGGCUAACUACGUGCCAGCAGCCGCGGUAAUACGUAGGUGGCAAGCGUUGUCCGGAAUUAUUGGGCGUAAAGCGCGCGCAGGCGGGAUAUCAAGUCUGUCUUAAAAGUGCGAGGCUCAACCUCGUGAGGGGACAGAAACUGGUAUUCUUGAGUGUCGGAGAGGAAAGUGGAAUUCCAAGUGUAGCUGUGAAAUGCGUAGAGAUUUGGAAGAACACCAGUGGCGAAGGCGACUUUCUGGACGAUGUCUGACGCUGAGGCGCGAAAGCUAGGGGAGCGAACGGGAUUAGAUACCCUGGUAGUCC
rnacentral:rRNA from 1 species